rnacentral:rRNA from 1 species
GACGAACGCUGGCGGCGUGCCUAAUACAUGCAAGUUGAGCGCUGAAGGUUGGUACUUGUACCAACUGGAUGAGCAGCGAACGGAUGAGUAACGCGUGGGGAAUCUGCCUUUGAGCGGGGGACAACAUUUGGAAACGAAUGCUAAUACCGCAUAAAAACUUUAAACACAAGUUUUAAGUUUGAAAGAUGCAAUUGCAUCACUCAAAGAUGAUCCCGCGUUGUAUUAGCUAGUUGGUGAGGUAAAGGCUCACCAAGGCGAUGAUACAUAGCCGACCUGAGAGGGUGAUCGGCCACAUUGGGACUGAGACACGGCCCAAACUCCUACGGGAGGCAGCAGUAGGGAAUCUUCGGCAAUGGACGAAAGUCUGACCGAGCAACGCCGCGUGAGUGAAGAAGGGUUUCGGAUCGUAAAACUCUGUUGGUAGAGAAGAACGUUGGUGAGAGUGGAAAGCUCAUCAAGUGACGGUAACUACCCAGAAAGGGACGGCUAACUACGUG